rnacentral:rRNA from 1 species
UACGAAGGGGGGCUAGCGUUGCUCGGAAUCACUGGGCGUAAAGGGUGCGUAGGCGGGUCUUUAAGUCAGGGGGUGAAAUCCUGGAGCUCAACUCCAGAACUGCCUUUGAUACUGGAGAUCUUGAGUUCGGGAGAGGUGAGUGGAACUGCGAGUGUAGAGGUGAAAUUCGUAGAUAUUCGCAAGAACACCAGUGGCGAAGGCGGCUCACUGGCCCGAUACUGACGCUGAGGCACGAAAGCGUGGGGAGCAAACAGG